GAUGAACGCUGGCGGCGUGCCUAAUACAUGCAAGUCGAGCGAACGGACGAGAAGCUUGUUUCUCUGUUGUUAGCGGCGGACGGGAGAGUAACACGUGGAUAACCUACCUAUAAGUCUGGGAUAACUUCGGGACACCGGCGCUAAUACCGGAUAAUAUUUUGCACCGCAUUGUUCAAUGGUGAAAGACGGUCUUGCUGUCUCUACUCGAUGCUUCCGCGCUGCAUUAGCUAGUUGUUACGGUAACGGCUUACCACGGCAACGAUGCCUAGCCGACCUGAGAGGGUGAUAGGCCACACUGGAGCGGAAACAGGGUCCAGGCGCCUGCGGGAGGCAGCAGUAGGGAAUCGGCGGCAAUGGGCGAAAGCCUGACGGAGUAAGGCGGCGUGAGUGAUGAAGGUCUUCGGAGCGUAAAACUCUGUUAUGAGUGAAAAACAGAUGUGGAAGGAACUGAGCACAGCGUGACGGUAACUAAUCAGAAAGCCACGGCUAACUACGUG
rnacentral:rRNA from 1 species